UUUAUUCUUGCCCAACUCUGAGAAAUGAUGCAACAGGGAGUACACAUGCCUUAAAUUAAAUGGUAGGAGGGAAAAAUCACAGCAUUGCAUUCAAUUAAUUUUCCAGGAAUGUUUCACUUUGCAUUUCAAUGAGCGAUGUUUUUGUACAAAGUGCACAUCACUUUACAAGCACAAUUUCACAAGUAAUGUGUUCAUUUCCAUAAAAAGGUAAAACAGACACCAUUGUUUAAUUAUGACAGACUAUUUUGGUGGCUUGCAAGACUUUUACGCUAAAAACACUCAAGUUUAAGCCUAACAUGAAAUGUCAAAAUGAGUGUAAAGGCAUUUUAAAUAUUAAUGCUUCACUUACAAAACCACCAAAAAGAAAGAAAAGAAAAAGCAGUGGUAUAAAUAUUAACAUGACUUAAAUAAAGAUUCCGUUUUUGCACGGAGCCUUCAUGCAACAAGUUCUCAACAUUAUGACCAGCUUACUUUUACCCUGGAUCGCCCUUACAACAAUCACAGUCCUUCAUCUGUGCGUCUGUCCGGCUACACAACUGCCUUGACAAGUCGACCCUGAACACACUAGUGCAUUAAACUGUUACAAGUGGAAAUGAAAGCGCCAAAAAUCGAACAACACGUACUUGAUCGACCAUGCUCUAUCAAUAAGUAAAACCCCACACAGCUAAAAAUCCACAUCCACGCUCUGCCAGUACACCCGUGAAUAACAAAUCUAUGAAAUCUUUCCUUUUUCAACAAACCCACGGUGUUGAGUCGCAGCGCUCUCCGUCUAUGAAGUCAGCGUACAGUACCUGCAGGAAAUCUGGCUAAAAACUCAAUCAGAGAAGCACGAGCGGCUCUCAUCGACCUGUCCGCGUGAGGCUAAUUAAGAUGUCUGUCUGUGCCGUACAUGUAGGGUCUGUGCGUUAAAUGCGA